GCGUGCACAGUCCCCUGCUUUUGCUCUCUGUUCCUCGGAAGUGGCAGUUGCAUUUUUCUCCUCAUUUGUGCCACCUGUGCAAGCACAGAGAUCUUUCCCGUCGUUUAUACUUGUGCUGUAUUUCGUUCUCCAGGAGAUGUUUGUCCCGGUGCAAUCACUGCAGCCCCUGCAGCCAAGGGUGCCCGAUCCCAACCUGUCGGAGUAGGAGAGGCAGUGGAAAAUGCAAGUUUUGCAGGAUGAAAUCAGGAGUGACACGAUGUCAAGAUGAUGAAAAACUCCAAAUUACCUGAAGUUUAUUGGAGCAUCCUUAUAUCAUACACAUGUUCAAGAAAGGCAACUGAGGCCACCCCCACAGGACACCCUGGAUGAGUGGAGGAUCACCUCAGCCUGUCAUCUGGCCACUUCAGAGAGGCAGAGAGAAACUCCCUAAAGAAGCGGUCCUUGUGUGCCAACCAGCAUCCAGCAGGACCCACCUUACUCACGUUCCUGUGUGCUGGAAAGGCCCAGUCCAUCCAAAAAGCCGUUGCACAGCCCACGUGUCCAAGACCAGAGAUCACUCUGACUUGUUUCCCGUAUUAUGACAUUGCUGGUAAGUACUGUGUGUUUCACCUUUUAAGUGAUUUAAUGUCACAUUUUCAACAAAUCAUACCUUCUCCGGGAUCACAAUCCACUUGCGCAAAAUAGAAUAUGCAGUGUUGAGUCCUCCUCCCCACCUCUUUGCCCUGUCCACUCAGUCCUCUUUCCAAACGGAAAUCAGUGUUACCUGUUUCAUUGAAAUCUUUUCAGAGAUAGUUUGGGCAAGGAAAGUUGAAUGCAAUCCAUUUGCCUUUUCAAGAAGUAUUGCUUUGUCUCUGGUUGAAAAUUAAAAUGUGCGCAGGGAACUGCAUCUUGGACUUGUGAUGGAAAAUGUUGCAGGAUAGUGAGAAAAUGAUUAUAUGUGUAUAAUAUAAAUACAUAUAUA
rnacentral:lncRNA from 1 species